UGCCAAGAACAGAUGAAGCACAUCAGGAAU
rnacentral:piRNA from 1 species